rnacentral:rRNA from 1 species
GGAGUUAUUAUAAUUUUAAGUUAAAACUACGCGAAGAUAGUUGAGCUAAAUAUUUAUAAUUAUUAGAUUAUUGUAUGUAGCAUAAUAUAAAUAAAUGAAUAUUUAGGGGUGAUAGGCCUUUCAAAACUAUAGAUAUCUCGAUUCUUUAGAAAAACAUUUAGUGUAAUAUCAACUAAGAAGUGACAAGGCUUCAUAGUUACAUAAAUAUUUAUUUAAAGUAAUAAUCUUGAUUUAAUCGUUAGAUUCUUAGGAAUAAAAUAUUUUUUUAAAAUAUCUUAUGCUUUUUAAAAAGAAACAUUUAAAUUAUAUUUUAAAGUUUAAAAUGUAACUAUAAGUAAUUAAAAUAAGUGUGAAAAAUGAACUCGGCAAUAAGUUCUUCAACUGUUUACCAAAAACAUAGCUAUGUGAAAUUAUUCAUAGUAAUUUCUGCUCAAUGAUAAUUUAAAUAGCCGCAGUACCCUGACUGUGCAAAGGUAGCGUAAUAAUUUGACUUAUAAUUGAAGUCCAGUAUGAAUGAAAUCUUGGAGAGCAUCUUUAUUUUUUAUAGAUUUUGAAAUUAUUAAUUAAGUGCAAAUUCUUAUAUUUAAAUGAUAGACGAGAAGACCCUUGAAAUUUUUAUUAAACUGUAUAGGAUUGUUUUUGUUGGGGCAACAAAGUAACAUAAAAUUUACUAUGAUCUACAAGAACAUAUUAUGUGAUAGGAUAAAUUACUCUAGGGAUAACAGCGUAAUUCUAAAGAGUUUGCGACCUCGAUGUUGGACUAGGAAACUAAUGCUUAGAAAGCAUAAUGUUAGGCUCUGUUCGAGCUU